CCGAGUUUACAACUCCCAAACCCAAUGUGAACGUUACCAAACUGUUGCCUCGGCGGGAUCUCUGCCCCGGGUGCGUCGCAGCCCCGGACCAAGGCGCCCGCCGGAGGACCAACCAAAACUCUUAUUGUAUACCCCCUCGCGGGUUUUUUACUAUCUGAGCCAUCUCGGCGCCCCUCGUGGGCGUUUCGAAAAUGAAUCAAAACUUUCAACAACGGAUCUCUUGGUUCUGGCAUCGAUGAAGAACGCAGCGAAAUGCGAUAAGUAAUGUGAAUUGCAGAAUUCAGUGAAUCAUCGAAUCUUUGAACGCACAUUGCGCCCGCCAGUAUUCUGGCGGGCAUGCCUGUCCGAGCGUCAUUUCAACCCUCGAACCCCUCCGGGGGGUCGGCGUUGGGGAUCGGCCCUUUACGGGGCCGGCCCCGAAAUACAGUGGCGGUCUCGCCGCAGCCUCUCCUGCGCAGUAGUUUGCACACUCGCAUCGGGAGCGCGGCGCGUCCACAGCCGUUAAACACCCCAAACUUCUGAAAUGUUGACCUCGGAUCAGGUAGGAAUACCCGCUGAACUUAAGCAUAUCAAAAGCCGGGAGGAAA
rnacentral:rRNA from 1 species